AGUGAACGCUGGCGGUAGGCCUAACACAUGCAAGUCGAACGGCAGCACAGUAAGAGCUUGCUCUUACGGGUGGCGAGUGGCGGACGGGUAAGGAAUACAUCGGAAUCUACUUUUUCGUGGGGGAUAAUGUAGGGAAACUUACGCUAAUACCGCAUACGACCUACGGGUGAAAGCAGGGGAUCUUCGGACCUUGCGCGAUUGAAUGAGCCGAUGUCGGAUUAGCUAGUUGGCGGGGUAAAGGCCCACCAAGGCGACGAUCCGUAGCUGGUCUGAGAGGAUGAUCAGCCACACUGGAACUGAGACACGGUCCAGACUCCUACGGGAGGCAGCAGUGGGGAAUAUUGGACAAUGGGCGCAAGCCUGAUCCAGCCAUACCGCGUGGGUGAAGAAGGCCUUCGGGUUGUAAAGCCCUUUUGUUGGGAAAGAAAAGCAGCAGGUUAAUACCCCGCUGUUCUGACGGUACCCAAAGAAUAAGCACCGGCUAACUUCGUG
rnacentral:rRNA from 1 species